CGUACACUCCUGCGGGAGGCAGCAGUGGGGAAUAUUGGACAAUGGGCGCAAGCCUGAUCCAGCCAUGCCGCGUGAGUGAUGAAGGCCCUAGGGUUGUAAAGCUCUUUCACCGGUGAAGAUAAUGACGGUAACCGGAGAAGAAGCCCCGGCUAACUUCGUGCCAGCAGCCGCGGUAAUACGAAGGGGGCUAGCGUUGUUCGGAUUUACUGGGCGUAAAGCGCACGUAGGCGGACUAUUAAGUCAGGGGUGAAAUCCCGGGGCUCAACCCCGGAACUGCCUUUGAUACUGGUAGUCUUGAGUUCGAGAGAGGUGAGUGGAAUUCCGAGUGUAGAGGUGAAAUUCGUAGAUAUUCGGAGGAACACCAGUGGCGAAGGCGGCUCACUGGCUCGAUACUGACGCUGAGGUGCGAAAGCGUGGGGAGCAAACAGGAUUAGAUACCCCAGUAGUCCCAUGA
rnacentral:rRNA from 1 species